rnacentral:rRNA from 1 species
AUUGAACGCUGGCGGCAGGCCUAACACAUGCAAGUCGAGCGGAUGAAGGGAGCUUGCUCCUGGAUUCAGCGGCGGACGGGUGAGUAAUGCCUAGGAAUCUGCCUGGUAGUGGGGGAUAACGUCCGGAAACGGGCGCUAAUACCGCAUACGUCCUGAGGGAGAAAGUGGGGGAUCUUCGGACCUCACGCUCUCAGAUGAGCCUAGGUCGGAUUAGCUAGUUGGUGGGGUAAAGGCCUACCAAGGCGACGAUCCGUAACUGGUCUGAGAGGCUGAUCAGUCACCCUGGAACUGAGACACGGUCCAGACUCCUACGGGAGGCAGCAGUGGGGAAUGUUGGACAAUGGGCGAAAGCCUGAUCCAGCCAUGCCGCGUGUGUGAAGAAGGUCUUCGGAUUGUAAAGCACUUUAAGUUGGGAGGAAGGGCAGUAAGUUAAUACCUUGCUGUUUUGACGGUACCAACAGAAUAAGCACCGGCUAACUUCGUG